CCACUUGUACAAGCCAAAGCUUCUAACAGUUACAAAAUCCUUGUACCAAUAAAAUUAAGCUUGGCAAACGUGUUUAAUCUCGCGUUGGAGGUAUUAUCAGCAGGGGUAGCUGCCGAUCCUGAUUUGAGUUUUAUUCUUUUGCCAUCAAAAUUAGUAGAGCUGUGGUAGUUGCCACAGAAUGCAACGCCCACUUGUACAAGACAAAGCUUUUAACGUUCUCUGAUUUGUGUGAUUCUGUGGUGCCAACAGUUUUGGCAAUGGCUGCAGCAAAUCACAAACUUGCAGUUAUCAUCAAGAACCCAUUGGACAGGGAUGAAUUCCUCCUCAUAAAACAAACUCCACCUCCAAAAUUCAAUGACCCUGAAUAUGAUUCCUUUGUUGAUUCUGACCUCUGGGACUUGCCUUCUAGUCAGUUAACUCCACUAUCAGAGCCUGAUCAACUAUUACAUUCAAAAAAAUCCAUAAAAACCCGUGAAUUUUCUUCCUCAGAUAAGAUUAAUUUAAGCGAAUUUGAUUUUAAUUCAGCUCUCAAUCAGGCAUUGGAGCAAGUAGGAUAUGGGUCAGCCAGGGAGGUAGAGUGGGAAUUCUGGAAGUGUCUAGAGGAGCCUGAUUUUGGGCCUGGUUUGCCUAUUAAGACAGUGUACAUUGUUGGAAAUUUAGGGUCUCAAGACGGGAAGCUGAAAGAGGUUUGCAAGUGGAUAAGAAUGGAGAAUUGCCUUGAAAUGCUUCUUGAAGUGAAGCCCAACAGUGAUCGUGUGGGACCAUUGGCUGUUCUUGGCCUCCUAAAUGACAUGGCACCAUCUGAAAGUUGGAAAGUUCCUCCUACCUCACAUUGUCAGGAGUACCCUCCAGGUCUGAAGCUUGUACCGAUGGGGAGUAGGACAGCGAAACCAUUUCGAACUACGAACUUGGUUAUCUUUGUGCCCGGAAAUAAAACUGACAGCUCUAGUAAUAAUAGCUUUAUCGCUUGUGGUGAUGCAUUAAUUGUAGACCCUGGAUGCAGCUCUGCUUUUCACAGAGAGCUUGAAGAAAUUAUUGCUGCUUUGCCAAAAAAGUUGGUUGUCUUCAUGACCCAUCACCAUCAUGACCAUGUCGAUGGUCUUUCUGUGGUUCAGAAGUGCAAUACUGGUGCUACCCUCUUGGCUCAUGAAAAUACUAUACGUCGAAUUGGAAAAGAUGAUUGGUCUCUUAGUCAUGUUGCUGUUUCUGGUUCUGAAGAGAUCUACAUUGGUGGUCAGCUACUGCGAAUCAUACAUGCACCAGGACACACAGAUGGCCAUAUGGCAUUGCUUCACGUCAGCACUAAUUCGUUGAUUGUUGGUGAUCAUUGCGUGGGGCAAGGAAGUGCCGUGUUGGAUGUGACAUCUGGUGGAAAUAUGACUGAAUAUUUCCGGACAACAUACCUAUUUAUGGAUCUCUCUCCACACAAUUUAAUUCCCAUGCACGGAAGAAUUAAUUUGUGGCCAAAACACAUGCUCUGUGGCUAUCUCAAGAAUCGAAGAAAUCGAGAGUCAACCAUCUUGAAAUCCAUAGAAGAUGGAGCCAAAACAUUGUUUGACAUUGUUUCCUACACUUAUGCUGAAGUUGAUCGCAGUUUUUGGAUUCCUGCUGCAUCAAAUGUGAAGCUACAUGUGGACCACCUUGCAGAGCAGGAUAAGUUACCAAAGGAGUUCUCUUUAGAGAACUUUAAGUGCAGUUUUGCUGUAUUUUUUGACCAUGUGAGCAAAAUAUGAACCACUGUGAAAGCUGCUCUUCUGGGACCUGCUAUGCAGAAUAUCUAGGCUAGACAACUGUUGCAUUAUGGACAGCUAUUGCUCUAGGAUCUGCUAGAUUUGAUUGCAAUAUUGUAACCGAAUUUUCGAUUCAGAGGUUCCAAAAUUCAUGUCGGCUUCAUUUUCUAUCCCGUUGGAUGUGGGCAUACUUAAGAAGUGGAAGCUUCCCAAUAAGGCAUUAUAUUGCAAGGACAGCAGAAAUUGUUGGGGCCGCAGCCAUUGUCGGUCUUGCUGCAAUGUAUUUUUCCAGGAACAAACUCGAUCAUAACUGACUAUUAUCACAUGACUCUGUCAUUUGCAUUCCUGGUAAAGUGAUAGAAAAAAUACUAGAUUACUUGCACAUUUUCCAUCUUAUACGAUAAACAGAAAUAGUGAAUAGAUGGCAAAUACUUGUCAUGUUACACUAGCUACAAAUGUAUUCUGUUUGGAGUUGCAUGAAGUACAGUAUUUGAACAGCUAAAGAAUUAGUACAUUGCCAUUUUAGC